rnacentral:lncRNA from 1 species
GGUGGCAAACCAGUGUGUCAUGAUUCGACUCAUGACCAACAAUCUAAUAUAUUACGAUUCUGCCUAUGACCGGCAAUCACAUCAUGGCUAGUCCAAAUUCUCUUACAUAUACAACAGUUCUUUUAAUAAUUUAUAUUAUAUUUCUUGUUUAAUUUUUAAAUAGUAAAUCUCAUAUGUCCAACAGUCAAAUAGUCAAUAUUUGAUACAUAUAUAAUAAAUAAUCAUAUAUCCAAAUAAAAUCAAAAUCAUCGUGUAGGAUACAAAAACAUGCAUACAAGUGAUCC